GGCGACGUAGCCAAGUGGUAAGGCGUGGGUCUGCAACACCCUGAUCACCGGUCCGAAUCCGGUCGUCGCCU
rnacentral:tRNA from 1 species